UUGCAGGCAGGGAGAUUCAGUUGGAUUGCAGGGAUUACAGCAAGCGAAGCAAGGCAGGCGUGCGAAAGCUGCUUCUAUGAAGAAAAAUGGGAAGAAAAAGCACAAUGGCCAUUUUUAACUCCUGAAGGGGAACAAUAAGGAUAUUCUUCCUAUUGUGGAAUUUGGCAAGUCCAGGCUAUCUAGAUCCCCAGGGAAAUGCUUUUCCAUAAGAGAUGUGUCAUGACAGAGAAGGAACAACUCCUGGGAUCCAUCAAAUGAGUAUGUUUCAUGAAGAAGACUUAGACCAUGGCCACACUGACAGAUUUUAUGAGGUGGGUCAAAAUAACUGAAGCUCGGCAUCCCUGAAAUAACCUAGGUAAGAACCAGCAUUUUGAAUUAUACCCAGAAGCUUACUAGAAGUCAGCACAGCUUGCAAAGUAGAGGUCUUAACAUGAUGUACCCAUAAUUCCUUGCAUCACUGUUUUUUAGAUGGAUGGAGUGGUCCUGAGUGGUCUUCAAAGGCAGCCAUAUAUACAGCAUAUUACAUAAGCAAUCCAAUCAGAAGGUGACCAAGUCAUAAGUAACUUUGAAUAGGACCUCUUUUCCAGAAACUAGUAAACAAGAUGGCACACAAGACAAAUUUACC